GAAAAGAACCCCGGCGAGGGGAGUGAAAAAGAACCUGAAACCGUGUACGUACAAGCAGUGGGAGCACCCUUUGGGGUGUGACUGCGUACCUUUUGUAUAAUGGGUCAGCGACUUAUAUUCUGUAGCAAGGUUAACCGAAUAGGGGAGCCGGAGGGAAACCGAGUCUUAAUUGGGCGUUAAGUUGCAGGGUAUAGACCCGAAACCCGGUGAUCUAGCCAUGGGCAGGUUGAAGGUUGGGUAACACUAACUGGAGGACCGAACCGACUAAUGUUGAAAAAUUAGCGGAUGACCUGUGGCUGGGGGUGAAAGGCCAAUCAAACCGGGAGAUAGCUGGUUCUCCCCGAAAGCUAUUUAGGUAGCGCCUCGUGAAUUCAUCUCCGGGGGUAGAGCACUGUUUCGGCUAGGGGGCCAUCCCGGCUUACCAACCCGAUGCAAACUGCGAAUACCGGAGAAUGUUAUCACGGGAGACACACGGCGGGUGCUAACGUCCGUCGUGAAGAGGGAAACAACCCAGACCGCCAGCUAAGGUCCCAAAGUCAUGGUUAAGUGGGAAACGAUGUGGGAAGGCCCAGACAGCCAGGAUGUUGGCUUAGAAGCAGCCAUCAUUUAAAGAAAGCGUAAUAGCUCACUGGUCGAGUCGGCCUGCGCGGAAGAUGUAACGGGGCUAAACCAUGCACCGAAGCUGCGGCAGCGACGUUUAUGCGUUGUUGGGUAGGGGAGCGUUCUGUAAGCCU
rnacentral:rRNA from 1 species